UUGUAUUUACUGAUAGACCUUAAAUAACUUGCUGUUGUUCUUUUUCUUUGCAUUAGGAUGCAAAGAAAAAAAAAACUCUCUGCACUUUCUUUGUCGUAGCCCAGAUUGAAUAAGGGAAUAUAUUU